rnacentral:rRNA from 1 species
GGGCCAGUAGGUUGGUCGUGCCACCGGUACGUACUGGUCUCACUGAUUCCUCCUUCCUGAAGAACCGUAAUGCCAUUAAUUUGGUGUUGCGGGGAAACAGGACUGUUACUUUGAAAAAAUUAGAGUGUUUAAAGCAAGCCAACGCUUGAAUACAUUAGCAUGGAAUAAUGAAAUAGGACGAUCGAUCCUAUUUUGUUGGUUUCUAGGAUUGACGUA